rnacentral:lncRNA from 1 species
CUGCCCACAGCUGCCCUUGCCCCUGCCUUUCCACGUUGCACAAGCCCAGCGCACGGUACCCACUGGAUAUGCCCGAGGCCUCCAGAGGAAAGGAAAGGAGGAAAAGGGACAGAAGAAAUGUUCACAGGAACUGCAUAUGGGCCUGCUACUUGUGUCAAAAUGUGACUGAACUCUCUUCCAGCAGGCUGGAGUGCAGUGGUGCGAUCUCAGCUCAUUGCAACCUAUGCCUCCCGGGUUCAAACGAUGCGUAGUAUGGCAGCAAUUAAGAUGGAAGUAAUGAGGAAAAGGAAUACUUAUCAAUGGAGAUUAGAGAGAGCCAAGUGUGAAUCCCUGGAAGGCAAGAUCGCCAUUCUGGUCUCUUGUGGAUAUCAAUGCUGAUCUCAGCUUCUGAUGCACGGCAGUCAAUUAAUAAAUGAUUGUUGCCUGAAAAACUGAGCCCCAAAACAAUAUUACAAGUUUAAUAUCAGUAAAGGAUUUAAUGCUUUCUAACAUGAAGAUACCAGAUCUUUUCUAUUCCUGGACUUUUAGAGUUGCUGAUUUUUGUAUAACCCAGAGAUGGAUUUAAAUGCAGAGUGUAUGAACUUCUUCAUUCCUGAGGGAGGACUUAUGAUUUCAUGAGAAAUGCCCUAGGAAAGGGGCCGGGGAGACUGAUGGAGAAGAAGAGUUUGGGAGGGAAGCCCCAAGGACCAUCUGCCCCAUCAGAGUCACAUGCAGAGGGUCCUGCUCCUGCCGUUGGAAGUUGGCUUCCUGAGCUGCUGAACGUGCCAGUCCUGCUGACCCACUCUCAGAUAUCACAGGCACCCGCUGUGUCUGACAGAGACCUUUCUGCAAGUACACGUGCAGGUCUGCUCUGCAAAGGCGUUAUCAUCUGCAGAUUAUUGCACAGAGUGGCUACGAGCUGUGGUGUGAUCCUGUCACAGAGAGAGCCUGGUCACGUUUUCAGAACAGCAGGAAACAGGUACACCUGUAAGCUUAUACUUAUCAGAUUUAAAAAUAAAACAAAAAAUCCAUGCUAUUCCAUGAAAAUCGGACUCAAAUAAACUUAGUCACUGAUCUGUGAAGUAAAUAAUCUGAUGGUAAUGCAUCAGUUGACACUUGGGCCUGGGUUUUUAGGCACUAAUGAAAGCCAGGGGCAAAAUAAUUUUUAAUCUACCAUUAUUUCC